rnacentral:rRNA from 1 species
UACGUAGGGUGCGAGCGUUAAUCGGAAUUACUGGGCGUAAAGCGUGCGUAGGCGGUUGUACAAGCUCGAUGUGAAAGCCCCGGGCUUAACUUGGGAAUGGCAUUGAGGACUGUGCAACUGGAGUGCGGCAGAGGGAGGUGGAAUUCCACGUGUAGCAGUGAAAUGCGUAGAGAUGUGGAGGAACACCGAUGGCGAAGGCAGCCUCCUGGGCCGACACUGACGCUGAUGCACGAAAGCGUGGGGAGCAAAC